AGAGUUUGAUCAUGGCUCAGGACGAACGCUGGCGGCGUGCCUAAUACAUGCAAGUAGAACGCUGAAGAGAGGAGCUUGCUCUUCUUGGAUGAGUUGCGAACGGGUGAGUAACGCGUAGGUAACCUGCCUUGUAGCGGGGGAUAACUAUUGGAAACGAUAGCUAAUACCGCAUAACAAUGGAUGACACAUGUCAUUUAUUUGAAAGGGGCAAUUGUUCCACUACAAGAUGGACCUGCGUUGUAUUAGCUAGUAGGUGAGGUAAUGGCUCACCUAGGCGACGAUACAUAGCCGACCUGAGAGGGUGAUCGGCCACACUGGGACUGAGACACGGCCCAGACUCCUACGGGAGGCAGCAGUAGGGAAUCUUCGGCAAUGGGGGCAACCCUGACCGAGCAACGCCGCGUGAGUGAAGAAGGUUUUCGGAUCGUAAAGCUCUGUUGUAAGUCAAGAACGGGUGUGAGAGUGGAAAGUUCACACUGUGACGGUAGCUUACCAGAAAGGGACGGCUAACUACGUGCCAGCAGCCGCGGUAAUACGUAGGUCCCGAGCGUUGUCCGGAUUUAUUGGGCGUAAAGCGAGCGCAGGCGGUUUGACAAGUCUGAAGUUAAAGGCUGUGGCUCAACCAUAGUUCGCUUUGGAAACUGUCAAACUUGAGUGCAGAAGGGGAGAGUGGAAUUCCAUGUGUAGCGGUGAAAUGCGUAGAUAUAUGGAGGAACACCGGUGGCGAAAGCGGCUCUCUGGUCUGUAACUGACGCUGAGGCUCGAAAGCGUGGGGAGCGAACAGGAUUAGAUACCCUGGUAGUCCACGCCGUAAACGAUGAGUGCUAGGUGUUGGAUCCUUUCCGGGAUUCAGUGCCGCAGCUAACGCAUUAAGCACUCCGCCUGGGGAGUACGACCGCAAGGUCGAAACUCAAAGGAAUUGACGGGGGCCCGCACAAGCGGUGGAGCAUGUGGUUUAAUUCGAAGCAACGCGAAGAACCUUACCAGGUCUUGACAUCCCGAUGCUAUUUCUAGAGAUAGAAAGUUACUUCGGUACAUCGGUGACAGGUGGUGCAUGGUUGUCGUCAGCUCGUGUCGUGAGAUGUUGGGUUAAGUCCCGCAACGAGCGCAACCCCUACUGUUAGUUGCCAUCAUUCAGUUGGGCACACUAGCGAGACUGCCGGUAAUAAACCGGAGGAAGGUGGGGAUGACGUCAAAUCAUCAUGCCCCUUAUGACCUGGGCUACACACGUGCUACAAUGGUUGGUACAACGAGUUGCGAGUCGGUGACGGCGAGCUAAUCUCUUAAAGCCAAUCUCAGUUCGGAUUGUAGGCUGCAACUCGCCUACAUGAAGUCGGAAUCGCUAGUAAUCGCGGAUCAGCACGCCGCGGUGAAUACGUUCCCGGGCCUUGUACACACCGCCCGUCACACCACGAGAGUUUGUAACACCCGAAGUCGGUGAGGUAACCUUUUGGAGCCAGCCGCCUAAGGUGGGACAGAUGAUUGGGGUGAAGUCGUAACAAGGUA
rnacentral:rRNA from 1 species